GCAUUUCCAACGGUGACGGGACGCGGCCGUGCUCACGCCCGCCGCCUAACUCGCGCGAUCCACGCAAACUUGCAAACUUAUCGAGAUAUUAACUAAAUAAUCACAAAUAUCUAACAAUAAUACAAAGUGAACAGUGAGUGCUAGUGCAUAUUAGUGAAGUUCCCUAACAACAAUUGGUACGAGGAUUCCAUUUCUUGAGGUUGCACGGACAACAAGGCUUAAAUGGGGCGAAGGAAAUUAAAUUAAAAACUAAAGUUCCUUGCACGAUACGCAAAUACUCGCACAGACUGCCGAUGUUUGCUCUGGGAACGUUAUCACUUGAUAAGUUAGAACACAAGCCGAGUGCAAACAACGUUAUCAUGGUAACGUUCUUGCCGGGGACUCGGCGCCGCUGCACAGACUCCGCUCCGCUGAGGCGCGCAGAACAACACACCUGAGACACGGGACUGUCUCGUCUUCCACGCCAGCGAAUGGCGCAAUGGAACUGCAGCACAGAUAGUGUGACAGUGACAAUUAAUGUGACUAAGUGUUAAUGUUAGUGUAAAUAGGCAAGCCAAAGAACAAACCAAAGCUAAUUAGCUCAAAUUCCUAGUCGAGAGAGAUUUAAGCCGUCAAGCUGGAGGACCUAACGACGUUCGAGAAUACAGAAACAGAUAAUGUCAGUGCGAAGGUGGCGGAGUGCCUGGCGAAGAAUGAGAACCUGUCGAUGCAGGAGUACUGUCCUGCGUACUACGACGGGUUGCUGUGCUGGGACCCGACGCCCUGGAACACGCAGGCCAUCCAGCGCUGCUUCAGCGAGUUCCACGGGGUCCAGUACGAUGACACACAGAAUGCCUCCCGCUGGUGCAUGGACGGCGUUUGGCGCAACUACUCGAACUACGCGAACUGUACGGAACGCAUUGCCAACGUGUCGCCGACUGACGUCACCAGCCUCAUCUACCUCGCGGGCUACUCGCUCAGCCUCGCUGUGUUGUCGCUUGCGGUGUUCGUGUUCCUUUAUUUCAAGGACCUGCGAUGUCUAAGGAAUACUAUACAUACCAACCUCAUGACUACGUAUAUUCUGUCUGCCUGCAGUUGGGUGUUAAACUUAGCUUUACAAAACUGGUCCGACGAGGCCCAGCAAGAUCAAACGUCGUGUAUGAUUCUGGUCAUAUGUAUGCACUAUUUUUACCUCACUAAUUUCUUCUGGAUGCUUGUAGAAGGGCUUUAUCUGUACAUGCUGGUAGUAGAAACUUUCACCGCUGAAAACAUUAAACUGAAGGUGUAUACCACUAUUGGAUGGGGCGCUCCGGCAGUGUUCCUCACAGUAUGGGUGAUAUGCAGGUGUUUCGUGAACGUAGUGCCUUCCAACGGGGCUGAUGGGCUGGCCUUAGCAGGGGAGACGAAGAUGUGUAUCUGGAUGCACGAACACCAGGUGGACUGGAUACACAAGGCUCCGGCGCUGGCGGGACUCGCCCUCAACCUCUUCUUCCUUAUAAGGAUUAUGUGGGUAUUAAUCACGAAGCUCCGAUCAGCAAAUACCCUGGAAACAGAACAGUAUAGGAAGGCAACGAAAGCGCUUCUAGUCCUGAUCCCACUGUUGGGCAUCACCAACCUACUCGUGCUGUGUGGGCCGAGUGACGACUCGUGGUUCGCGCAUGCCUUCGACUAUACGAGAGCACUCAUGCUUUCCACACAGGGUUUCACAGUGGCUCUAUUCUACUGCUUCAUGAACACUGAAGUUCGCCACGCGAUCAGAUACCACGUGGAAAGGUGGAAAACUGGCAGAACCAUCGGCGGAGGCAGGAGACGAGGUGCCUCCUACUCCAAGGACUGGUCUCCUAGAUCCAGGACUGAAAGCAUACGAGAGUGUUUGAAUACGGAUGUUAACAAGAAGCCUGUGGGGCAGGUUGUACAGCCACCCAUCUAAACGCGAGUCGGCUGCUUCGGAGACCACCACCACGACGUUGCUGGUGCCAAGAACUUCUCUCUUGCCUCCCCUCGAUGGCAGGCAUCUGCAUGCUGAUUACAUCACGAGCGGGAGCGCGAGCGGCGACCAGUCCCCGGUGUGAGGCGGGGGGCGGGGGAGGCUGCCGCGCCUGCGCACCCUGCCCGAGGAGGACGCCCCCUCUGUCGCCUCUCUCGCCUCCCCCGCCUCGACGUCCCCCAAGCAGCCAGACAACACCAUCUCCAUCCUUCCAAACCCUAACUACCACAACGGGUACCAGAAAGACCCCAAAACGCCCCACACUCCGAAUGAUAAAGCUACUUCAAAUGGUCCAUUUUCAUUCAACAAUCGCCUAGAACCUGUGUCUAAUGCAACUACCCCAAACUCGGCAAAUUCAAGCCCAAAAUAUUUUGAAUAUUAAUUAAAUUCUACGCAUUUAACGUUCCUGUAACUAUUGUAAUAUAUAAAAACUAUUUAUUUAUUAAUUAUGUGAUGCAUGAACGGACUUAGUCAUAGAGUAUGAAAUACAUUUACUAGGAUAAUAAUUAUAUUACUUAAAUAAAAAUAGAAUUCACAGAUAGUUUCUCGAGAUAAAAUUAUUGUAUCUAUUUUAAAAUUACUAUAAAUACUUAGAAUAGUAAAAUAAAAAGCUGAAUUCUCUUUAGUAACUUAGAGAUUUUAUAUUUAUGUGUAAACUAUGCGAUUUACCAAAACUUUUUGUACGUAUCUCACGUAAAUAAGUCAGUCUAUGAAAUGUUGCCAAAGCUACAACAGCUUUUAUAGAAUUACUAUUAUUAUAGAAAUAAUGAACUUGUUAUAGUUUAAGUAUCUAGCUGUAAGGAAGAAAUUGGGAAACAAUGCGCUAUUUGUAUCAUAAAUUUUAUAGCAUAUCGUAAAUUUUACAUACAAUGACGUAACUUUCUGUGUAAUUACUAUUCAUAAUGUGUCAUCGAUGUGGAAAUUAUGAGUGUAACAUUAUUACCAAUUUAUUAUUACAUUAGACGAAUAAAUUAAGGUCGAGAAUUAAAUAUGCUAGCUAUGUAUUGUGUACUAGAAAUAACUCUGUACGAGUAUUCGAUAAACAACUUAAUAAAUGUAUGAUAUCCUUUAAUUUACAUGUAAAUUCUAAAGUGAUUUAAUGUUUGUACAUUUAUCUGUAAUAAAAUUUGUGAUCGUC